UGUUUGCCAUUGUUCAGUUUAUCGACGAGGAGGGGCCAUAUGCUAUUGGCCCCCAUUUACCCUCCGCAAGAAAGACAAAGGCAACAAUUUAGCCAUCCGCUGCACCUGGGAAAAACAUCAUUUUAAGUUCAUGAAGGGAGCAGAAUCUUGGCAAGAGGCGAAAAGAUAUUUGGAGCGCUUCCAAACAGGUUCCAGCGUUGAAACAACAACAGCCGACGACGACAAGAAGAGAAAGCGGAAGAGAAUCUUAAAUUCCAAGUACAGACCCCAGGCCUCUUCGGAUGAAGAGGAGUCUACUCUUCCGGAUGCACCAGCUUUGCUGAGUUUUGAAAGAAGUGUUGCCGGUAACAAGUUUUCCGUGCUGCCCGAUGCUCCAGAAGUUUCAUUCGGGCUAGAAAACCAGGAAAACGUUGAGCCAUCUGUAGACUUCAGAGCUGAAUAAGGUUUCUCACCAGUGCUCCAGUCUCCACUUCUAAGAGCCAAGAGUUUGAGUACAAGAGAAAGUCAACACUCAAUGGGCCCUUGGACUCCCCGGAAAUCACGUGUACAGCAAGUUUCCAGCUAUGAAGAUUUCCAGAGACUCCAGGCGGAGCUCCAAGCCCUGAGGGAGGAGAACCAAGCCCUGAGGGAGGAGAACCAAUGCGCGAGCAGCUUCGGAUGACUGCAGCUCACUUCAAGAGCAGGUGAAGCAAGUUGGGACAAUGAUCAAGACGUUUGCUCGCACUGGGCUAUCAGGGGCCAUACGGAAGAAUCCGGCAACCCAGGAUGCCACUGAUGAGGCGGUCCAGGUUAAUGUAAUGGGUUACCUGAAAGGAGCAUCUGGCCGCAAAGGUGGAAAAAGGCGCCGCACAACAGAGAGGGACCCACAGCCGACUCCUCAAACCUAGGCUUGUCUAGACUACUGACACCCCUGCAUGUUCUCUGUGUGUGUGUGUGUGUGUAUAUAUAUAUAUUUUAUGUAUAUAUAUCUUUUUUAUUUAUAUUUCAGUGUGCUGACACAUCUUGUUUCAAUACUG